rnacentral:lncRNA from 1 species
GUCCUAUCAAUCCCAUAAAAAAAAGAUAACAAGAAUGAUGGCUUACAAUGCAGACAUGUACACCUCAAAUUAGUUUGUUUUAAUAUUGAUAUAGUGUUUAAUUUAGUAUCAAACAGGUUCUUACCCUAUACAUUAAAUCAUUGGAGACCCCCGACAUGGAUGUCACGUGUAAGAAUGCUUAUGCUAUAAGAACCGGUUCUAAAAUCUUAAGGGGUCAGAUUCUGAGACUGGUUUUAAGUUCUAAACACUAAAAGUAUGUGAAGAAUCCACAACGAGUUCUACCAUCGAAGAUGAUCUAAAUACGAUAAAUUAGGAGGCAAUG